CCUACGGGGGGCAGCAGUGAGGAAUAUUGGUCAAUGGACGAGAGUCUGAACCAGCCAAGUAGCGUGAAGGAUGACUGCCCUAUGGGUUGUAAACUUCUUUUAUAUGGGAAUAAAAUGUUCCACGUGUGGGAUUUUGUAUGUACCAUAUGAAUAAGGAUCGGCUAACUCCGUGCCAGCAGCCGCGGUAAUACGGAGGAUCCGAGCGUUAUCCGGAUUUAUUGGGUUUAAAGGGAGCGUAGGUGGAUUGUUAAGUCAGUGGUGAAAGUUUGAGGCUGAACCGUAAAAUUGCAGUUGAAACUGGCAGGCUUGAGUACAGAAGAGGUAGGCGGAAUACGUGGGGUAGCGGUGAAAUGCUUAGAUAUAACGAAGAACUCCGAUAGCGAAGGCAGUUCACUGGACUGCAACUGACGCUGAGGCGCGAGAGCGUGGGUAGCAAACAGGAUUAGAGACCCGAGUAGUC
rnacentral:rRNA from 1 species